GGGGACGUAACUAAGCGACCCAGGAAUGCUUGGGCGUGCCUCCACCCACGCCGGCGUCGGCGGGCGUAUUUCGCCUCACAGUAGGUCGCCGCGACCCGUUGCUUUUGGGGACGUCGAAGGCCCGGACGGAUUGGUACCCUACCGGCUGGGGAUGCGGCUUCGGCUUCUCCUCUUGUCCGGUGGGCGAAACCGCCGGUGUCCUGGCUGCCCUGCGACGGUCGUAGAGACGAGCCCUCCCCAUUCGUGGGGGGCGGCUCUCGCGGCGUGCAAAAGGUCGGUGAUCCACCCGACCCGUCUUGAAACACGGACCAAGGAGUCUAACAUGUGUGCGAGUCAGUGGGCGCACUAAACCCAGAGGCGUAAUGAAAGUGACACGGGUUCGGCUGUCGCCUCGUGUGGCAGCCGGACUCAGGGCCGAUCCCUCACCGGUUGCCCUCGCCUCUCUCCCGCGUCUCGGUACGCCGGGUGAGCUAUUUUCCCCGGCCAAUGCUGCGGCUCGGGGGGAGGCGGGGUGCGAUGGUGUCCGUAAAAAAGAGCCUGCUGUUGCAGGGGGGCGCAGGCCCGGGACUUGCCAGGACGCCGCGAGACUGUCACUUUGCUGUGAGGCUCCAGGGCCGAUCAGCGGGUCAUGCGUGCAGUCGGCAAGUACCAUGAGCAGACAUGUUGGGACCCGAAAGAUGGUGAACUAUGCCUGGCCAGGAUGAAGCCAGAGGAAACUCUGGUGGAGGUCCGUAGCGAUUCUGACGUGCAAAUCGAUCGUCGGAGCUGGGUAUAGGGGCGA
rnacentral:rRNA from 1 species